GAUGAAGAACGUAGCGAAAUGCGAUAAGUAAUGUGAAUUGCAGAAUUCAGUGAAUCAUCGAAUCUUUGAACGCACAUUGCGCACAUCAGUAUUCUGUUGGGCAUGCCUGUCCGAGCGUCAUUUCAACCCUCAGGGCCCGUUCGCGGGAACUGGUGUUGGGGAUCGGCCUCCCCCCGGAGGCCGGCCCCGAAAUGCAGUGGCGGCUCUACCGCGAUCUCCUCUGUGUAGUAGCGAUACCUCGCAGCUGGAUAGUGGUGGUGCCACGCCGUAAAAUCCCAACUUUACCAAGGUUGACCUCGGAUCAGGUAGGAAUACCCGCUGAACUUAAGCAUAUCAAUAAGCGGAGGA
rnacentral:misc_RNA from 1 species